rnacentral:rRNA from 1 species
AUUGAACGCUGGCGGCAUGCCUUACACAUGCAAGUCGAACGGCAGCACGGGUGCUUGCACCUGGUGGCGAGUGGCGAACGGGUGAGUAAUACAUCGGAACAUGUCCUGUAGUGGGGGCUAGCCCGGCGAAAGCCGGAUUAAUACCGCAUACGAUCUACGGAUGAAAGCGGGGGACCUUCGGGCCUCGCGCUAUAGGGUUGGCCGAUGGCUGAUUAGCUAGUUGGUGGGGUAAAGGCCUACCAAGGCGACGAUCAGUAGCUGGUCUGAGAGGACGACCAGCCACACUGGGACUGAGACACGGCCCAGACUCCUACGGGAGGCAGCAGUGGGGAAUUUUGGACAAUGGGCGAAAGCCUGAUCCAGCAAUGCCGCGUGUGUGAAGAAGGCCUUCGGGUUGUAAAGCACUUUUGUCCGGAAAGAAAUCCUUGGCCCUAAUACGGUCGGGGGAUGACGGUACCGGAAGAAUAAGCACCGGCUAACUACGUG